AUUGAACGCUGGCGGCAUGCCUUACACAUGCAAGUCGAACGGCAGCACGGGGCAACCUGGUGGCGAGUGGCGAACGGGUGAGUAAUGCAUCGGAACGUACCUUUCAGUGGGGGAUAACGUAGCGAAAGUUACGCUAAUACCGCAUAUUCUGUGAGCAGGAAAGCAGGGGAUCGCAAGACCUUGCGCUGAUUGAGCGGCCGAUGUCAGAUUAGCUAGUUGGUGAGGUAAAGGCUCACCAAGGCGACGAUCUGUAGCGGGUCUGAGAGGAUGAUCCGCCACACUGGAACUUAGACACGGUCCAGACUCCAACGGGAGGCAGCAGUUGGGAAUUUUGGACAAUGGGGGCAACCCUGAUCCAGCCGUGCCGCGUGAGUGAAGAAGGCCUUCGGGUUGUAAAGCUCUUUCGGCCGGGAAGAAAUCGCACGGGCUAAUACCCUGUGUGGAUGACGGUACCGGAAUAAGAAGCACCGGCUAACUACGUGCCAGCCGCCGCGGUAACAC
rnacentral:rRNA from 1 species